rnacentral:rRNA from 1 species
UUCCAGCACCCCGAGUGGUCGGGACGAUUAUUGGGCCUAAAGCAUCCGUAGCCGGUUCUGCAAGUCCCCCUUUAAAUCCAGCUGCUCAACAGAUGGGCCGCGGAGGAUACUACAGAGCUAGGAGGCAGGAGAGGCAAGCGGUACUCAGUGGGUAGGGGUAAAAUCCGUUGAUCCAUUGAAGACCACCAGUGGCGAAGGCGGCUUGCCAGAAUGCGCUCGACGGUGAGGGAUGAAAGCUGGGGGAGCAAACCGG